CUUCCCCAUUGUUCUGCCACUCGCCAAUGAGGAGCAGUUUGAUGAGGCUGAAGCUGCACUGAAGGAGGAAUUAGUCCUUCGAAAUAUGAUUACCCGCUUGGCAUUAGUCGGAGGGACCAAUGCCGAAAAUAUGAUCCGGCGAAUGCUAUCCGCUACCAUGGCAAACCGUGUAGCAUGCAUCUUCAACUGGGCGGGAAAGGGACCGAAGAGGGCCUUCAAGGACACGUUAAUGCAGGACUGCAUGUUUGUUGACAGAAUUGCAGUACAGGGGUGCCCUGCAGAAGUGGCUGCGUUACGCACCGGAGAGGAGUGGCGGGGUACCAAGAAAAGGCAAAGAUUAAGGACUAUUAAGGACAAAUGUUACUGUAAUGUUCUAAUUACAGGGUUAAUUAUAGGGUUAAUGUUCAUAAUUCCUUAAGAUGUUUGUUUAUAAUUGCUUUUGAAUAUUUAUUAAAUAACUUUUUGAAUAAUGGUCUGUUUUGUUGUUGUAGUUUUUUUGUUCAUAGAGCAUUCAAUAAAGCAGCUGUUCUAAACCUUGGUUUCUUAAAAAGAA